GGCGGCGCGCUUAACACACGCAAGUUCGAAACGAUGAAGCUCUCGCCUCGCUCAGGCGGAUUCGUCGGCGAAACGGGCGAGUAAUACGUCGAGUCGACCUACCUUCGACUCUGGGAUAAGCCUGGGAAACUCGGGUCUAAUACCGGAUACGACCAAUCUCCGCAUGGGGUGUUGGUGGAAAAGCGUUAUGGAGUGGUUUUAGAUGGGCUCACGGCCUAUCAGCUUGUUGGUGAGGUAAUGGCUUACCAAGGCGACGACGGGUAGCCGGCCUGAGAGGGUGACCGGCCACACUGGGACUGAGACACGGCCCAGACUCCUACGGGAGGCAGCAGUGGGGAAUAUUGCACAAUGGGCGCAAGCCUGAUGCAGGCGACGCCGCGUGAGGGAUGACGGCCUUCGGGUUGUAAACCUCUGUUAGCAUCGAAGAAGCGAAAGUGACGGUAGGUGCAGAGAAAGCGCCGGCUAACUACGUGCCAGCAGCCGCGGUAAUACGUAGGGCGCGAGCGUUGUCCGGAAUUAUUGGGCGUAAAGAGCUUGUAGGCGGUUGGUCGCGUCUGCUGUGAAAGGCUGGGGCUUAACCCUGGUUUUGCAGUGGGUACGGGCUAACUAGAGUGCAGUAGGGGAGACUGGAAUUCCUGGUGUAGCGGUGGAAUGCGCAGAUAUCAGGAGGAACACCGAUGGCGAAGGCAGGUCUCUGGGCUGUAACUGACGCUGAGAAGCGAAAGCAUGGGGAGCGAACAGGAUUAGAUACCCUGGUAGUCCAUGCCGUAAACGUUGGGCACUAGGUGUGGGGGACAUUCCACGUUUUCCGCGCCGUAGCUAACGCAUUAAGUGCCCCGCCUGGGGAGUACGGCCGCAAGGCUAAAACUCAAAGAAAUUGACGGGGGCCCGCACAAGCGGCGGAGCAUGCGGAUUAAUUCGAUGCAACGCGAAGAACCUUACCAAGGCUUGACAUAUACUGGACUGCGUCAGAGAUGGCGUUUCCCUUCGGGGCUGGUAUACAGGUGGUGCAUGGUUGUCGUCAGCUCGUGUCGUGAGAUGUUGGGUUAAGUCCCGCAACGAGCGCAACCCUCGUUCUAUGUUGCCAGCACGUGAUGGUGGGGACUCAUAGGAGACUGCCGGGGUCAACUCGGAGGAAGGUGGGGAUGACGUCAAAUCAUCAUGCCCCUUAUGUCUUGGGCUUCACGCAUGCUACAAUGGCCGGUACAGAGGGUUGCGAUACUGUGAGGUGGAGCUAAUCCCUAAAAGCCGGUCUCAGUUCGGAUUGGGGUCUGCAACUCGACCCCAUGAAGUCGGAGUCGCUAGUAAUCGCAGAUCAGCAACGCUGCGGUGAAUACGUUUCCCGGGCCCUUGCACACACCGCCCGUCA
rnacentral:rRNA from 1 species